UGCUUUUAUUCAUCCUUGUGCAAAUUCAUUUCUUUUUCCAUUUGCCAGUCGAAUUAAAAAAAAAAUUACAUAAAUGACAUUGGACACUUCACUCGUGUAAAAAACAUAGAUAUUUCAAUCCCCUCUCCCACUUGCCACUGCCACUGGACUUACUGGUUGGCCCAUGGACUUACAUUAUAAGUGCAUCUCUGUAUGUUUUAAUUUUUUCUAUAUAAUUUCCCCAGUUUUUAGUUCGUAUUUAACCCAGAAUGUUCCUUUUAAGCAACUUUAUAUUCUGGAGUCUCUAAAUCCUAUGAAAUAUUUCCCAUGCAUGGUUUCACUUUGUGACCUCUGAAAUGAUUCAGGCCUGUUCCUGUUUUCCAUCUGUAAACAAGCUAGUUGACUAAUUGGUUGUAAAACAGAGGAAGUCUUACCUCUUCUUUUAUUAGCUUACUAAAUGUAAGAGACUAACAUCAUGCUGCAGAAAUGUUGGGGAGUAACAGAAUAUGUAACGGGAUUGUGUAUUUAAAAUACAAAAUUAAAGUAACUGUAUUCCACUACAGUUACAAUUUAAAUCAUUGGUAAUAUAAUACAGUUACAUUCAAAAAGUAUUUUGAUUACUGAAGAGAUUUCAUCUUAGUACGUUCUGAAAUUCUGAGUGACCAGGGAAUGUGAGCGUUCCGCAAAAAAAAUAAAAAUAAAUAAAUUUCCACAGGAAUGUGAGGAAGUUUCAGAUAUCACAGACACAGCUUGUUGGUUUCAGCUUGUAUUCCGGGAAAUUUCAACUGGGAGAGCUUCUUUCAACCAUCUGCGGUUCUCAUUAAACCCUUCUACUCUUUCACCUUAAAUAAUGAUGUAAAACAUUUACAUUUAUGAAAGGAUUUUGGUUUAAACAUAACUAAUUGAAUCAUUACACACUUUUCCACCAUCUGGCCUAUUGGUUCGGAGCAUGGUGAGUAACAGUUCCAGUGACAUUUCCAGUAGAGCACGGUUCGGUGCAGUACAAGUAAUACAGACCAUACUGGGAGAAUGUUAGACUCAGUCGCCAUUCAAUUAAAAAAAUGCAAUGAAAGUGAAUGGUGACUAAGCAACACAAAGGUCAUACAAGUUUGGAAUGACAUGAGGGUGAGUAAAUUAUAAAAUAAUUAAAAUUUUUGGGUGAACUAUCUCUAUAAAAUAACACUAUACCUCGAGAAAUACUGACUUGCGUAAAAGUCGACAACUAGCCCUGGUCUCCCCAAUAAUGCUUGGAAAUUAAGACAAAAUUGAACUAAACAAGGAAGCAACAGCCAGCUACAUUUUGAGAUUUGUCCAGAAAUGGUUAAGUGUUUUGGUUAGUUGUGCCAUUCUUGGAAAAAUCCAACCAACAAACAACCAUCGGCCACAUAUUCUCACUGAUCUCUCAUCAAGACUAGAAAAGUGGACGAAUCCCAUGGUAACCAGCAGUCAAGAAACCCUUUCUCCUCGCAGUUCCUCCAAGCAUGUUUGCCUGAGGACCGGUAUAUCUUUGUUCUCCAUCCAUCCUCCCAUAUGUAGCACCUCCCUCCAUCCCCCUAUGUGUAUUCCAAGCCCAGUUGCAGUUAGGCUCAGCCUGAGGAAUUGGGGAGCUGGGCUAAUGAAAUCCAGGCUGUUUCCAUAGAUCUAACUUGGUUCUUUUCUCUAUUGUUUUUGUAUCAGUAACAUGCUUCUACACGCAUUUAUCACAUUUCUCUUGUGGGAGUAUUCUUUUAUGGGACGUGAAGAUCAGUAGAAUCUAUAUCACAGUUUUUCAUAGAUUAAUGAAGCAAAACAAGCUUUGGCUGAAGUUUAGCAAAGUAUGGGUUGGUUUUAGUGAUAAAACGCUAUCUUGCCUCAUAGCAUUAGAAGAAACAUAAUCAGAAACUAGAUGAAUGAUGGUUGUGUAACCGAUCCUGCUUGACCCGCUCUGAGCAGGAUUCGAGCUGGCGCCGCCGGCAUGGGAGGCAUGCGCGCUAAUGAGAAGGCUAAAGGGUACAGUCUCUAGCAUCAGACAUUAGUGUGCCACUUGAGGCCAGGGGAGUGAGGUUUAUACACACUGCACAGCAAUUAUGUACAAGCUGGCUCCCAUUACACUCACCCCUAAACCUCACUCCCAUCCGGGUCACGGCACCACUGUAACCGGUCCUGCUCUAAUCGUUUCGAGCAGGAUUCGACUGGCAUCGCCAGCAUGGGAAGCGGACACACUAACAAGGAGGCUAAAGGCUACAGCCUCUAGUAUCAGACAUUAGUGUGCCUCUUGAGGCCAGGGGAGUGAUGUUUACACACACUGCACAGCAAUCAUGUACCAGAUGGCUCCGGUUACACUUGUCAGUGUAAAACUUGCCACCACAGUUCUGAAGUAUUAGGUUCCCUUUUUAAAAUCAAAAGUUCUGGAAAACCUCUGUGGCAAACUCUUCAUUGUUGCCGUACUAGUUUCCACAUAAGUGUUUGCUAGUAGCUGCAAAUUGUCCAUUGCUGCCGUUUGCUUCAGGUUCAACACUAUCAGUGAAGAGCUACAAAUAUGGGUGUUCUGGCUGCUUGCUAGAGCAUUGCUGGGUGGUUGCUAGGUUAUUGCCUACUGGACCAAGUCAAAAUAGUCCUGCCACACUGCUAGAGUUUUGUGGUUGCCAGAGCAUUCUAAGUAGUUGCUAAGGUGUUUUGAGUGGUCUUAGUUUGUUGCUUUGCGAUUGCUUAUUAGACCAAGUCAAAAAAGCUCAGCCAUGACAUUACGGUGUUGUGGGUGGUUGCCAGGGCAUUGCUGUGUGGCUGCUUAUGUGCUCUGAGUGUUUUUAUGUGCAUUGCUAUGCACUUUCUAAAGUGUUUUGGAUGAUUGCCAUUGUGUUGCCAUGGUCUAGUGAGGACUCCACAUGGUUUAGGCCUCAGGUUCCAGAGAGCCACUAUGGUGGCACAGUUGCAUCGCGCUCUACAAAAGCAAUAGUUAUGUUUCUAUCUCCCUUUAAAUGCUUUUUGUGGUUGCUGCGGUAACCGUAUUUUUCGGGCCUUCUCUUUAAGGGUAUUUCGUUUUUGUCCCGGAUUCCACAGCUUGCACAAAGCACUGAUUGUCUCCCACAGUAACACAGUUAGGAGGGGUGGAGGGGGCAGCACUUGAGUAAAUGCCAUUGGUUUCUCUUUAAGAUGACUGGUUGUUCGGUCACUGUCCUGGCUGCAAGACUGUCCUGUACACACGGAUAAACUUUUACAGUAUGUGAUAAUCCUCUUAUGUGGACUCAAACAAUAACAGUUCAAUCAAGUUCGUUAACCCCCAGACGCAUUGCAUCCUUAUACAGUACUACACCUUUGGAGCAGACAACAGAUACUCAGUAUCCUUACAAGAUUGGAUUCAGCUGGACUCAAUACUCCCCCUCUUCAACUCCGGUUUCCAGACUUGACCCCCCAUUUCCGCUCUGGUAUGUGGACAAGCGGGCCCUGAUCCAUCACUGAAAUGCUCAAGUUUGGUUAAAAUAAAACAGCUGAAAUUUGCAUCACGUUGAAGGAUGGUCCCUCACGGCGCAGACACAAUGGAGUUGCCGGGCCCCGUAAAGAAGAUCUUACAUUUUGUCUGCAGGACUAGAAAGGAAAUCCUGCUGUUGCGGUCCAAUGGUGAAUCAAAGGUCACCUGGGACUCAUAUUGUA